rnacentral:rRNA from 1 species
UGAGGAACAUGACCUUCGGCGGGGGAUAGCCGGCCCAACGGCCGGGUAAUACCGCGUACGACCACAUGGGGACAUCCCCGAGUGGUGAAAGCAGCAAUGCGCCGAUGGAGUGCCUCGCGGCCUAUCAGCUAGUUGGUGAGGUAACGGCUCACCAAGGCGACGACGGGUAGCUGGUCUGAGAGGAUGGCCAGCCACAUUGGGACUGAGACACGGUCCAGACUCCGUAGGGACGG